GGGACUCCAAGAUGUGAAUCAACCUUGCUCAUGAUACCAAGAUGUUGUAGGAUGAAACCCUAGAUGGGAUCUUUUCCCACUUGGAGGGGGAAAGAGGAAGAACACACAAGAACACAAGGAGGAAAUCACUCAAACAAACCCAAAUAACACAUCCACUAGAGUAGCAUACAUGAGAUCCACAAGCAUACAAGAACAAUUCAAGGAAAUUAGCACUAGGGUAAAGUUCUUCCCACUCCUAGGAGAUGAGGUCUUGAUGUUGAUCUUCUCCAAGAGGAGGCCUUGAUAAUCCACAAGGAUUCUUCCCAAGAUGGGGGCUUGAUCUCCAAGAGGAGGCGAUACAAGGAGCAAAGCUCUCUAGUGUCUAUCAAAUACUUUGCCAACCUCUAUAUGAGCUAGGGGAGAGUACUUAUAGCCUAGGGACGAAAUAAGAGGGAAAGAGGGGUACAAGGGUCAUAUUGCCCGAGUUGCACAUAGACAAAAUCGGCGGAGUUCGGGCACCUGGGGUAAAGGGGUCCGGGCACCCGGACCGGUCAGAGGGAGGCGCCAAAGAGGGGGGCUGGGCACCCGGACGGGUCAGAGGGUCGAUGGCCUAGCCGCGGUAGAGGCCGGGCACCCGGGGGUCGCGGCCCGGGCACCCGGAGGCAAGGGCCAGCGCCCAGCGGGGUGGCCGGGCACCCGGGGCGGCGAGCAGCGCCCAGGCUGGGGCGGCCGGGCACCCGGGUGUCCAGUGGCUCCACUCCUUCAUGCCCUUCUUCCUUCUCCUUCCUCCAUGUGUGCUUGAGUCUCCCUCCUAGCUUCUGCAUGGUCAAGUCCUUAGUACCUAAGAAGGCACAACGAAUCCAUUUGAGGUAGAACCCAACUCUCAUGUAAAUCUGAGAGGAAAGAAUUAACCUCAGUUUCGAUUGCGCGUGCUCUUGUCAUUGGUCCACCUCGUGCUUAAUGAGUUGUAGUAGAGUCCAUGGGGAUGAUGUAGGGAUGCUCCGCAUCACGUAUCCCGCCCUUUUGUAACAUUUUGCAUUGUUCCUGUGCUAAAAUCCCCCACCCUCUUCUUCCAAAUCGUCACUCUUCACCUAAUUCCCGCCAUUUUCUCUCGCUUCUUCUUCGCUGCCGCCGCCGACACAUGGAACCGGACCAGGACCUGCCGGAGAUGGAGGUCGGGGAGUGUGGCACCCCGAUCCGCAUGGAGUAGGGGGCCUUCGCACGUCAGCCCAGGAUAACACCUGACGCACGACAGGUCCAUAAUACAGCAUUCCAGGUACAAUAAUAUUCAUCGAAUACAUGUGCAUCAGAGUACAUCAUUGAUGAAUACAAUCAUCUGGCAUAGCCAUAAGGCUAGAAAAUAACAGCGGAAGUCUAUUAAAAUGGCGGCAGAAGUCUUGGUUUGACAGCAUAACAACUCUGGCUGGGCUCCACAACUCACAGGACUGGCAAGGUUACGGCCUAGCACGACGGAUCAAGCAAACAAUUCGGGUAUGACCUACAAAACUGGCAUGACACGCCAGGUCAGUACACUGAAUGUACUUGCAAGACAACGAAAUACAUAGCAUCCAAACAAGCAGAAGACAAAGCAAGAACCAAGCGCAUGCAACAACCUAUCUCAUAUCAAUUACUAAACAUGGCAUGAUAAAAAUUCAACUAAGCAUGAACCAAAUCAUAACAUCUACUAACAUGGCAAUGACAUGGCAUAUCAGAUCAUGCUUCUAACAUGGCAAUGGCAAAGCAUAUCAUCUCAAUCAUGGCAUAAUUUAACAUGCCAAUCGAAGCAUGGCAUGGCAUCAUGAAACUAUGCUGAAAAUAAACUACCGAUUAUAUCCAAUGCAGACAUAGCAUGUUAACUAUAUACAAUCAUCUUCUGUUCUGCCUUAGGUUUUUAAAUGCAACAUAUUACUCAUGCAAUGCAACCAAACUCGUACACCGAGUCCCUCGGACUCUCUUACCAACGUGUUGCCUCGCAACCGAGCGGUGAUCAUUCCGGCGAUCACAACCAUGACCAACACUUGGUCUCCAACACUUAUCGAGACCUCGUCUCGUGAUCAUAUCAAAACAUCGUCGUGACUUCUCACAACUAUCUCAUAGUCCAAGUCACCAUAUUUUUGUUAUCACAUAUUUAUUUACCAAUUUAAUUAUUUCAGGUUUAUCCUCCAUUUCGACCAAGACCUGAUAGUGGGACCUACUACAAACUGUUGCUAUCGAUAGACUUUAUACACUCUGCAGAGGUAGCACACUGUACCCACACCACGGAACCCAUGGCCUCGUCAUCCCAUUCGGGUGGACCAACGGCAUUCCGACGAAACCAACCUACUGCCAUGACGCUCUCCCGGCCACUCCGACCCAAUCCCCAAUGGGCUGGUCCUGGGUGGCCCCGUGUCUACCAAAGACACCCCGACCACCAUCGUGGUCAACUCCCACUCGGGGACUGGUACCAAAAAUCUAAAAAACGAGCACACAAGGUUAUGUCCGCUUACCUGAUCAGGGUAAGCACGCCCAUAACCUUCCCUAGUGGGAGGCACCAGCGAGAGGUCACGACAAUAGCUCGCAUUAAGGCCUUCCCACAAAGGCAAAUGUGGCUGCACUGAAAAAGUUCGAUUUGGUGGCACUAUGACUCGAUCCCAUCGAUGAUGGAGGAGGUUUGUUAUUAUUAAGUCAUUUUAAUUCCUUCUCCAUCAUCAUGAACAUGAAUGCAACAAUGAGCAUGCAGCAUACGAUUGCAUGAACAAAAUAUUGAACUACUCAAGUGCACAGCUAUAGCAUAAAGAACAUGACAAUACCAAGUAAUAGCAUACCAACGGUGCAUUACAAUCCUCAUAACAUUGUAUAAUGAUGACAUGCAAAUAAAGUAGAGUAGUGACAUGGCAUUAUCAAUAACAACAUUUUAAUUAGCAUGGCAAAAGAUAUCAUGAAAACACAAGCAUGCAUAAUAGGCAUAAUAACUGCAGACGAAAAUGAUGUGAAACAACUGCAACUACACACACACACACAAGGUGCAAGCAAAGUCAACAUGCAAGUUCGAGGCUCAUGAUAAGAGGUUGGCUUGCCUGGGGGUCGAGGAAUACUCCGAGAAAAAGUGCGAAACGAUCGCGGAAAGAUUUGCCGGAAACAGUUCUCUCUCGGAGGGGUUGUUUACGUGCAAGGGCAAAAUGGUCAUUUUCACUGUACGAAAACAUUAUGAAAAUGAUACCAACGGAAAGGGUUCGAUGAACAGAGAACGUGAGCAUUGGAAUCACCUCAAUCGGAGUUACGGUUGAAAAGUUGUGGCCGUUCACUUUUUAGGCAGAAAAUGCACUCAAGCAGUGAACGUUCACAAAAUAAGCACUUCGGCGGGCGGGGCUGAAAAGAGAAAACGCAUUUCAGAAAACACGUCUUCAUAACACUGAAAGCGUAUUCCUGACAGAAGAAGCAGCAGAGUACGCUUUCUUUAACCGGAGACGUACUUACAUGAAAUGCGCUUCCACUUAAUCCAGUCAGCAGGUCCGCCACAUCAGCGCUGGGACAAUGACAGGCGGGGCCCACGGCAUCUUCCCUCUCCUCCCGCCUGGCCUUCUUCUCCAGCGCGACGCAGAGAACAGGGGCGGGCCGGCCGCCGACCUGGCCAUCGCCUCGCAGCUCCCCGGGGCCGGAUGACAAGCGGAGGGGCUCUGCCACUCCACGCCGUGCCUGCUGGUGGCCGCGGGGUCGCGUGGGACGGCCCACAGUGCCGACGCCACGACUCGGGCGCCAUGGCCGGAGCAAGGCAGGGUCAGGGUCGCAACGACAGGGCUUCC
rnacentral:lncRNA from 1 species